AGGCAAAUCCGCUUUGAUAAUGCUGGGAUGUGAUGGGGAGCGAAAUUUAGUAGCGAAGUAGCUGAUUUCACACUGUCAAGAAAAGUCUCUAUCGAGGUUAAAGGUACCCGUACCGCAAACCGACACAGGUGGGUGAGGAGAGUAUCCUAAGGCCAGCGAGAGAACUGUUGUUAAGGAACUCGGCAAAAUGACCCCGUAACUUAGGGAUAAGGGGUGCCACCAUCAGGUGGCCGCAGAGAAUAGGCCCAAGCGACUGUUUACCAAAAACAUAGGUUUCUGCUAAGUCGCAAGACGAUGUAUAGGAGCUGACGCCUGCCCGGUGCUGGAAGGUUAAGGGGAUCUGUUAGAGCAAUCGAAGCAGUGAACUUAAGCCCCAGUAAACGGCGGCCGUAACUAUAACGGUCCUAAGGUAGCGAAAUUCCUUGUCGGGUAAGUUCCGACCCGCACGAAAGGCGUAACGAUUUGGGCACUGUCUCAACAACAGACUCGGUGAAAUUGUAAUUCCGGUGAAGAUGCCGGAUACCUGCGACAGGACGGAAAGACCCCAUGGAGCUUUACUGUAGCUUGACAUUGGGUCUUGGUACUACAUGUACAGGAUAGGUGGGAGGCUUUGAAACCAGGACGCCAGUUUUGGCGGAGCCAUCCUUGGGAUACCACCCUUGUAGUACUGGGACUCUAACCAUAGGCCAUGAAUCUGGUCUUGGGACACUGUCAGGUGGGCAGUUUGACUGGGGCGGUCGCCUCCCAAAAGG
rnacentral:rRNA from 1 species